UACAGAGGUCCCGAGCGUUGUUCGGAUUUAUUGGGCGUAAAGCGCACGUAGGUGGCGACGUAAGUCGGGUGUGAAAGCCCCGGGCUCAACCUGGGAAUUGCAUUCGAGACUGCAUUGCUGGAGUACGGAAGAGGAAGGCGGAAUUCCCGGUGUAGCGGUGAAAAUGCGUAGAUAUCGGGAGGAACAUCAGUGGCGAGGCGG
rnacentral:rRNA from 1 species